rnacentral:rRNA from 1 species
GACGAACGCUGGCGGCGUGCUUAACACAUGCAAGUCGAACGGAAAGGCCCUGCUUGCAGGGUACUCGAGUGGCGAACGGGUGAGUAACACGUGGGUGAUCUGCCCUGCACUUCGGGAUAAGCCUGGGAAACUGGGUCUAAUACCGGAUAGGAGCCAUUUUUAGUGUGAUGGUUAGAAAGUUUUUUCGGUGUAGGAUGAGCUCGCGGCCUAUCAGCUUGUUGGUGGGGUAAUGGCCUACCAAGGCGGCGACGGGUAGCCGGCCUGAGAGGGUGGACGGCCACAUUGGGACUGAGAUACGGCCCAGACUCCUACGGGAGGCAGCAGUGGGGAAUAUUGCACAAUGGGCGCAAGCCUGAUGCAGCGACGCCGCGUGGGGGAUGACGGCCUUCGGGUUGUAGACUCCUUUCGCUAGGGACGAAGCUUUUUGUGACGGUACCUAGAUAAGAAGCACCGGCUAACUACGUG